rnacentral:rRNA from 1 species
UACGUAGGGUGCGAGCGUUGCCCGGAUUUAUUGGGCGUAAAGGGCGCCGUAGGCGGCUCGGCACGUCCGUUGUGAAAUCGCCCGGCUCAACUGGGCGGGGUCAGCGGAUACGGUCGAGCUUGAGCAAGCUAGGGGGCAAUGGAAUUCCCGGUGUAGUGGUGGAAUGCGUAGAUAUCGGGAGGAACACCAGUGGCGAAGGCGGUUGCCUGGGGCGUUUGCUGACGCUGAUGCGCGAAAGCGUGGGGAGCGAUCCGGC